AAAUAACAAGAGCGGGUAGGCUUAAACUGACAGACAAGGAAAUCCUGGAAAAUCUGCAGUGGAGAAAGGAAGUGCUUUGGCGGCAGCAUGUGCCCCGGAGUCACCUGAGCUGGAGCAGGCGACACGGCCCCUGGUACUAAACGUAAGAGGAUACAAGAAAAAGUUUUCCUGCCCAACUGGGUAGGUAAAGGUGACCUGCGAGAAAGAAUCCAACCAGCAGAGACAAGCAGGAAGAAGGGAGGAGAAGGAGAUCUCUUGCAGUGUUGGAAGGCCUGGAUCAAUUGUUCAUCAGGCAGCACUCUUCCUGUGAUCUGGUAGCAGAUGAUAAUAUAUUUUUUUUUCUUUUUUGUCUUCUGGUUUGUGUUUUAAAGCUUUACAAUGAACUGUUCAAAAAGUUCUAACACAUGCAGAUUUUGUUUUACUUUGUUAAGUAAACAAGUUAAGCAAUAGAAUAUAAACAGCAUUGCCUGUGUGAGGCAGAUAUUUACAAGUCCACUAUAUUAUUUUUUCUCUCCUACUUGAACAUUUACUCAACAUUGUUUACGUAAUAGGAAAUUAGAAAAACAGAGAAUUGAGGCAUGUGUACCCCUGGCUAAGCUCAUCUACCUACAGGCAGCCCACUCUUCCAGGCAGACUUUAAUCUGGAAGAUUUCUUCUAAUGCUAACCAGUUUGAUGCAAAAAUUUUUGUUGAAAUGCUUUACAGUUCAGAGAAGAUCUGCCUUUCUUGGGAAGCAGUCUAUAAUAAUAGUGAAUGCCUUUGAAAAAAAAAUUAUUUUGUCUUGAGUACAUGAUCAAAAACAAUAACAAAACACUGUAAUAGGUGCAUUAAUCACAUAAACUAUUUACAUUUUGUAUUAAAUUCUGGAAAUUUGAG